rnacentral:rRNA from 1 species
CCUAAGGCGAGGCCGAGAGGCGUAGUCGAUGGGAAAUUGGUUAAUAUUCCAAUACUUCUAUGUAAUGCGAUGAGAGGACGGAGAAGGUUAAGUCAGCCUGGCGUUGGUUGUCCAGGUGGAAGGUUGUAGGCAUGUAUCUUAGGCAAAUCCGGGGUACUCUAUGCUGAGAACUGAUAGCAAGCUGUACUUGUACAGUGAAGUGGCUGAUACCAUGCUUCCAGGAAAAGUCUCUAAGCUUCAGUUACAUAGGAAUCGUACCCGAAACCGACACAGGUGGUCAGGUCGAGUAGACCAAAGCGCUUGAGAGAACUCUGCUGAAGGAACUAGGCAAAAUGGUACCGUAACUUCGGGAGAAGGUACGCUGCCGAUGGUGAGUAGUCACGCACUACAAAGCUAUUGGCAGUCGCAGAUACCAGGCCGCUGCAACUGUUUAUUAAAAACACAGCA